UACGAAGGGGGCUAGCGUUGUUCGGAAUUACUGGGCGUAAAGCGCGCGCAGGCGGUCUUCCAAGUCAGUGGUGAAAGUCCGGAGCUCAACUCCGGAACUGCCAUUGAAACUGUGAGACUUGAGUACGAGAGAGGUGAGUGGAAUUCCCAGUGUAGAGGUGAAAUUCGUAGAUAUUGGGAAGAACACCGGUGGCGAAGGCGGCUCACUGGCUCGUAACUGACGCUCAGGCGCGACAGCGUGGGGAUCAAACAGG
rnacentral:rRNA from 1 species